GCGCUCGUAGCUCAGCUGGAUAGAGUACCUGGCUACGAACCAGGUGGUCGGAGGUUCGAAUCCUUCCGAGCGCGCCA
rnacentral:tRNA from 1 species